UCUCGAUUGGUCUAGUGGUCAGGAUACCUGCUUGUCAUUGUCACUCCAAUGAUCUAGAUUCCACGAUAGUGGGACUUAGCAAUCAUGACAGCAAGCCGCAGGUGGCCGGGGUUCGAUUCCCCGAUCGAGAG